rnacentral:lncRNA from 1 species
GUCAUUCCUUCACUGGCUGUAUAGUCUCCUCUUCAAUUGCUGCACAGCUGUAUGGAGCUCAAUUUGUAAUAAAAGUGGUUUAGUGCAAACCAUACAUACAUAAUGGUCUUUGAUUUCCCCCUCGGCUUUGAAAAUCUCUCUUAAUUAUCUGCCUGUAGGCUUGGAAUUUCUUUGCCAAGUCUAUCUUCAUUUACUGAAGUGUCUCCAGAGUACUACUUUUAGAGGAAUUUCUUCAGAAGUGGAAACUGGCCCUAAGCCCUCAUGUUGAAGAAGGUCAGUGUAGCAAUAACAUUGACUUAAAACUUACUGCAGUAAGGAAGUCCCUUUAAAAAGGCACUCUGUGCCCACUCUGUUAAAAAGAAAAAAAAGUUGUUAAAAUAGAAGUGAGGAAGGCAAAGAAGAACAGUAUAAAGCCACAGCUGGGAGAAGUAACAAUUUAGUUGAGCUGAUUCCCUGGUGUGGGGAGGAGGCCUUUCUUCUGUUCUGUGUGCCUCUGAAUUCUGCUUACCCCAACACACUUGAACAACUUUGCUGAUACCUGCAUUAAUAAUUUCUGUCAUCUAUUCAGUUAUUCAUUCAAGCCUUCUCUGAACACCUAUGUAAAAUGAUACUUCUCUAUUCUUUUCUAUCCCCUUGCCAGGCUUUAUUCUCCUCUUGUCACACGUAUCACCAGUCCAUUAUAUUGUAUGUUCAAUUGUUUUAUUUUUGUUUCUCUCUGUUACCUAAAUGUAGGUCUCUGAGGACAAGGACCUGGCCUGUUUCAUUUAUUGCUAUACCCCUAGCACCUUGUGCAUGGCACAUAGGAGAAACUCAAUAAAUAUAAGUUAUUGAACUUCCACUCUGUAUUUAGGAUCUAAAAAUGAAUAAGACAUGAUUCCCACCUUCCAGGCAUUCACAGACUUUUUAGAGACAGAUGUAAACAUAAAUGCCUCUUGCAGUAUGAGAACUUGACUGGUAUGCAUGACUUCAGCAGAAGUGAUUUAACUGAUUAACUGCUGCACUAGACUGAUAGGCUAUAUCUACAUAUCUGCACAUAUAGAUAUAUCUAUAUAUCUAUAGGCUAUAUCUACAUAUACAGAUAUAUCAUAUUGCUUCUGUUUCUCUGAACCCUGGCUAAUACAGUGGGCCAGGCAUACAGACUUAAAAGCAUCAUACCCUGCUUCUGUAAGAGACAGAUGCCAACUGGAAUUAGAAGUGCAAGUGGUUUACUAAGAGAAGAGCCUGUGAAAGAUAAAGGACAAAGUGGAGGGAGCUGGAGGAGGUGGAGGAAGCCUGCAGCCCAUGAUGCAGCUCUGAGACCUAUGAAAGGAGAAACAGAAGAAAGGAUUGAGUAGAAAGUGCUUCAGACCAAAGUGCAGUUCUGAGAGUUGUGGCCAGCCUGAUGGAGAGUCCCUGAACCAAAGGCACCCAUUUGAGGAAUCCCCCUUUAGGCAGGAAUGGCCCAGCUCUAGCACCCACCACUGUACUCAGUCAUUGACUGGGGCAGCCUGGGGAAGUGUGACCUGGAAGUGAACGCUGCAGUCAAUCCAAGGUACAACAGCUGAAGACUAUGAAUCAACUAUGCCCCACACAAUAGGCCCUCCCACAGGGAGAUUCGAACAGGGCACCUUCAUGACCCAUUCUUCUGGCAUGCCCUUCUGAGGCUGGGGGUGGGCUUUCACAAGUUCUGACCAUCAUAGAAUCUCUAUGUGGUAAAGAUAAUAUGUUCUUAAAGUGGGGUAGGGGCUCCCUAGGAACCUGUAUUGAAGCUUAUGUUCUUAUUUAGAUUGUAUAUUUACCAAAGCCAAUCUUGGAGCCAUCUCUGCUCACAUGCAAGAGUGGGCCAGGCUGAGGAAGGAUGAUGGUG